rnacentral:lncRNA from 1 species
GCAAGACUUUCUGCAGCAGGACAAAUGGCAUAGUGUGGGGACAGACAGACAGCUCCUGCUUCUCCUUCAUUCCCGAGCUUCACUCCUGUGUGUAGGCAGCAAAAUGGCCUAGGGCCCUGUGAUGAGGACUGGCCGUGGUCUGCAUGGAAGAGAGAACAGGGCUCUAGGGGUGUGGACACCCUGUGACAUGAGAAGGGGAUCAGCAAGGUAGGGCUUCCAUCCCUAGAGGGGCCAGGCCUAUGAGAGUACCAGCUGUUAGUGAAGGACCACUCAACACUCUU